GUGUUUACCAAGCAGCUUUGGAGCACCGUGUGAAUGUUCAUCCAAAAAGGAGUUGCCAGCAAGAAAACUGCGGAGAGAAUGAUGUCACCUACUACAAGCGUGUUUUUCACUGUAGAGAGCUCUUCUGAAUGCAGUGUGACAAAGUUUUACAAAAGCGUAUUCACUCAGUACAGCAAUGAGGAUAAAACGGCUUACGUGAAGAGGAUCGAUGUCAUUUUCGGCAGCGUAUACAAAAAACCUUGACUGUCGAGUAAACAUCAAACGACAAGAUUACUUGCAGAAAUACUACGAGUAUAAGUUUGCUAAGCAGAGUAAUGAAAACGAUGAAGAAUACUUUGAGCGUGUCCUCACCAGGAAAGACGAAUCUGAAGAAACUUAUACAUGCAAAUGUGAACUUCUGAAGAAGUUCGUGAAGAAGAUCGAUUGGAGUAAGGUUAAAAUAGAGGGGAAAUCAAAGAAAGGGUUUUCAUUGAUUGGCAAAAUAAAGUCCAGAUCGUGUGGGUAAUAAGGAAGAAAAGAAGAAGAAGAAGGAAGAAAGAAGCAGUCAAAGAAAAGCGAAGGAUCUUGUGGUUCUAAGAAAAAAGUCAAAUAGUUGCAAAGAUAAAAAGAAAGCAGAAAGGGCUGAAAAUGAGAAAAAGAUAAAACAGAGAGAAGAAGAACACGAGAAAAAAUGUGAAAAAGAUAAAACAGAGGGAAGAAGAACACGAGAAAAAUGUGAAAAAAGUAGAAAAACAAAAGAAAGAACACGCUGAGAAUGAGAAGAAAAUAAAAGAAAGGGAGGAAGAGCACAAAAGAAACGAGGAUAAAAAUCAAACGGAGAGAAAAAGGAGCACCAAGAAAAUGUAAAGAAGGUGGAAGAACAGAAAAGACAACAUGCUGAGAAUGAAAAGAAAAUAAACAACGAGAGGAAGAACACGAGAGAAAUGUGAAAAAAGUAGAAGAAAGAGAAAAAACUCACAACGAGAACGUUAAGAAAAUUGAAUCCAGGAAGAAAAGAGCGAGAAGAAAAACGUGAGAAAGUGGGUCCAAGCCAAAUUACCGUAGGAAGAGCAAUGAAGACGACAGUUCUUAUUUUAAGAGAAUCUGCACCAAAACAGUUUCCACCGAUGAGGAGUACAUAGAGAGGAUCACUCAGGUACGCAGUGUCUUCACCGACUUGGACGUAUGGUACAAUGAAAAGUACCUGAGCGAGACUAGGCAGUACUAUUCUCUUGUGUACACUAAGAAGUCAACAGAAACUGAGGAACAGUACUAUCAGCGUUUAGUAACCAAAGAGAGUUUUGAGUCGGAUCUGAACUGUGCUAGAAGGAUAUAUAUCCUUCACAUCGUCUUCCCUUUCAUUGCCACUCUGGUACGAGGAUCAGUACUACUCGUACGUCAAGUCUUUCUACGAAACUUAUUACAGGAAGGAGCAAUCGGAAUCUGAAGAAGUCUAUCUGAAGAGAGUCUUCACGAAGUGCACCGGAGAGUCAGAAGAAAACUUCUGGAAGAGGGUAAAAUUGGUGCAGAAGACCUUCUCGGACUAUCAGUGUUGGUACAACAAGGAGUAUCUGCAGAAAUUGGACGCCUGCAAAUGCGUUAGCGGGGUUAAGUAGUGAAGCAGAACUGAAGAAGAAGGUAGAGUCUGAAAACAAUUCGGAAGAAAGUGAGGGAGCUAGGAAGGCUAAACUCGCCUGCCUUCAAGUGUUCUUCAAAUCGUCAAAGAAGUCUUCAAAGAAGGUUCAGACCACUGAGGAAUCGCAAGAAGAAGAAGUCAGUUAUGGUUCCAGUUCCAAAUGCCAUUGAAUGUUCUGAAAUAACUGAUUAAUUUUUUAAUAACAGUCUUGUCCUGUCUUCCACAAGAGUAUUCACAAUCACGCACUCUCUCUCCCUCUGACUAUCCUUCACACUAUGUAUGCCCUUAUCUGUCUUUCAAUACCCAGCACGAACCCUUCAACACAUAUUUUGCGUGAAUUUGUUACUCACUGUCUUUUUUCAUCCACACGUGUGUACUCACUACUAUUGAAUAUGUUCCCCUAAAUGUACAUAUUAACUCUCAAUAAACACAUCUCAUAAAA
rnacentral:lncRNA from 1 species